CCUACGGGUGGCAGCAGUGGGGAAUAUUGCGCAAUGGGCGAAAGCCUGACGCAGCGACGCCGCGUGAGGGAUGAAGGUCUUCGGAUCGUAAACCUCUGUCAGCAGGGAAGAACGGUCACUGUGCUAAUCAGCAGUGCAUUGACGGUACCUGCAAAGGAAGCACCGGCUAACUCGGUGCCAGCAGCCGCGGUAAUACGGAGGGGGCGAGCGUUAAGCGGAAUUACUGGGCGAAAAGCGCUCGUAGGCGGUAUGGCAAGUCAAGGGUGAAAUCCCCGCGCUGAACGUGGGAACUGCCUUUGAAACUGGCAAACUGGAGUGUGUGAGAGGAUAGUGGAAUUCCAGGGGUAGGAGUGAAAUCCGUAGAUAUCUGGAGGAACAUCAGUGGCGAAGGCGACUAUCUGGCACAUAACUGACGCUGAGGAGCGAAAGUGUGGGUAGCAAACAGGAUUAGAUACCCUAGUAGUC
rnacentral:rRNA from 1 species